UACGGAGGGUGCAAACGUUGCUCGGAAUCAUUGGGCGUAAAGCGCACGUAGGCGGUUCGUUAUGUCGGAUGUGAAAGCCCUUGGCUUAACCGAGGAAGUGCAUCCGAAACUGGCGAGCUAGAGUACUAAAGAGGAUCGCGGAAUUCCCGGUGUAGAGGUGAAAUUCGUAGAUAUCGGGAGGAACACCGGUGGCGAAGGCGGCGAUCUGGGUAGAUACUGACGCUGAGGUGCGAAAGCGUGGGGAGCAAACAGG
rnacentral:rRNA from 1 species